rnacentral:rRNA from 1 species
CCGGCACGGGUGAGUAACACGUAUCCAACCUGCCGUCUACUCUUGGACAGCCUUCUGAAAGGAAGAUUAAUACAAGAUGGCAUCAUGAGUCCGCAUAUUCACAUGAUUAAAGGUAUUCCGGUAGACGAUGGGGAUGCGUUCCAUUAGAUAGUAGGCGGGGUAACGGCCCACCUAGUCUUCGAUGGAUAGGGGUUCUGAGAGGAAGGUCCCCCACAUUGGAACUGAGACACGGUCCAA